AGCAACAAAAACACAUAAAUAUGUUUUACUUCAUAAUAAGACACAAUACCAUAAUAGUGUACAUUUGCACAUACAGAAAUUUAAUAUAUUACAAAGGCUGUAAAUAGUACCUUAACCAAAGAUAAUAAGAAACUGGCUUCUCCCCAAAUUAAAAGCAAAUCGCAAACAAAUCUUAAACUCAUGCAUCAUAUAUAAUGCAGAUGAUAUUGGUAGAACAUUAAGAUACAAUGGUCUCUGGUCUUGGACUCAGUAGCUGACCAGUAAAUUGCAACGUCCCAAACUUGUGCCUGUCGAAACAUCUGUUGGGGCCGUAAUUGAAUCAAAUCUGAGAAAGUUGGUUUAUCAUGGUUGGACGAGGCUGACAUUUCACAACUAAAGGUCGAAGCUUGGGCAAGGAAAGCCCAGUCCCUUCUUUCAUGUCCACCAUUUCCUUGCCAACUCUUUCCCAGUCAAAGCAUUGAAUAAGUGAACCCAAAACUAGCACCACCAUACGCAUUGCCAGGCCUUCUCCAGGACAGGCCCUCCUUCCAGACCCAAAAGGCAUAAAUUUAAACCCAUCUCUUGUCCCUUCUAGGCCUUCAAAUCUUUCUGGUUUGAACUUUCUGGGUUCUGACCAUAAUUUGGGAUCAUUUUGUAUCGCCCAUUCAUUCACCAGUAGCAUGGUUCCCCCUGGGAUGGAGUAGUCUCCUAAGGUGCACCUGACUGAUGAUUCAUGAGGUACUAGUAGCGGGACAGGCGGAUACAUUCUCAUUGUCUCAGUAAUAAUACAAUGGAGAUAAGGUAGAUCAGCUAUAUCCGAUUCAUUGAAGAGACGGUCUUGUCCCACAUGAUUGUCAAUCUCAAUCUGUGCCUUGUUUAGAACUUCUGGAUUGUUUACCAAAAGAGAUAAUGCCCACUCCAUAGUUCCAACUGAAGUAUCAGUCCCUGCUACUAAUAGAACCUAUUCAUAAGGUGAAAACAAUCAGAUUAAUUAUUACCUCCCCUCGUUUUCACAUGUGUGUUGAGGAAAUGUAUGCCAUGACAUUAUUACGAAAUCUAGAACAUUUAACUUUAUUAUCUAGUUUAUUCAAGAUUACUCAUCCAAUAUGAAAUAUACCUAAUUCUAAGAUCCACUCAAACUGUAGAGAAAGUUAAAACAAAAUGAUGAUGUAGGGUUCUGGCUCUGCUUAAUUAAAGCAUAAUGACAUAAUAAAACAUUAGUUUAUAGAUUGCAUAGUAAAGAAGUUAUAUUAGUUUAUUUUCUCUUUCUCAGUAUUAUUAUUCAUCUGAGAUGAACAAAAACAAAAAAGUAAAAAAUAAAGCUCAAGAUGUUAAUGAGUCCCACAUUGCUAAGCAAGUGUUCAAAUGUAUUGAUGUAUGCCUUCAAAAUAUUUUAUUCUUUUUCUACUAGACCUAAUUAUAUAUUUAAAUAAAAAGACACAUAAAGUUCCAACCAAUAAAAUAUUCACAACUUCCGGUUAAGGAGAGAAACUUGAAUGAGUAUCUUCCUUAAACAAUAUGUGCUAUUGGGAUUUGUUUUCUUUUCGGUAUAUAGAAUAGGAUAACACUAUAGGGCAAAGGGAUAAAAAAGCCUAUCAUGUUUACCUCAAUGUUCUACUUGUACUUUAAACUAAUUUUUUUUCCAAAAAUACCUUUAACGUUAUAUUUUUUGGGUCGUCCGUGCCCCUGCCGUUAACAGAAGACAAACGGGGUUAAAAUGUGAUGACGUGGCAGCUUAAAUAUAAAAUAUAUUCUAAAUAAAACAAUAUAUAUCAUUUAGUCAAAUCAAAAAAAAUACUAAAAUAAAAAAUAAAAAAAGCAUAACAUAUUUACAUCAUUUAAUCAAAAUAAUAAAAUUCAAAUUAUUUUGUUAACUAAUCAAAAUAACUAAUUAAAUAAAAUAAGUUGUAUAACAUAUUUACAUCAUUUAAUCAAAAUACUAAAAUUCAAAACAUAACAUAUUUACAACAAAUACUAAUUAAAAAAAAUACUAAAAUCCUAAAAAAAAUCAAAUUUAAAAAAUACUAAAAAUAAAAAUUCAAAUUAUUUUGUUAAUUAAUCAAAACAGCAAAAAUUUAAAUUACAUCAUUAAAAUACUAAAAUCAUAAUACUAAAUACUAAUUGAUAUAAAAUUUUUAAAUUACUAAAAUCAUAAUACUAAAUAAUAUUUUUAAACUAUAUAAAAAUUUGAUGAUGUAAUAAUCAAUACAUAACAGUAUAUGUUAUAAAUAAUAUAAAUAAUUUGAUGAUGUAAUAAUCUAUACAUAACAGUAUACUACCUCCGUCCCACAAUAAGUAUUUUUUUAGGCUUAAUAUUUUUUCCCGAAAUAAGUGAUGUGUUAGAACUCCAAUACAAUUUUUGUAAUAUUUUCUCAUAUAUGCCCUUAUGCAUUCAAUGGUAUUUAUUGCAUCUUACCAUCACUACAAUUAAAUGACACUCAUUAACUCUUCAACUUCAAAGAAAAUAUAUUAAGGGUAUUUUUAUCAUUUUAGCUUGUAUAUUGGUAUGUGUGAUUUAAGCUAAAAAAGCACUUAUUAUGGGACGGAGGUAGUAUGUUAUAAUUUGAUGAUGUCAUAAUUUUUUUUAAAAAAUAUAUUCAAAAAUUCAAAUUACAUCAUAAUAUUUUUAAAAUGAUAUGAUUUUAAAAAUUAAUAUUAAAAAUUACUAAAAUAAUCAUAAUACUCCAGUUUUAAAUUUUAAAAAUAUUAUUUAGUAUUAUGAUUUUAGUAAUUUAAAAUUUUUAUAUCAAUUAGUAUUUAGUAUUUUAAUGAUGUAAUUUGAAUUUUUGUUAUUUUGAUUAAUUAACAAAAUAAUUUGAAUUUUAGUAUUUUUUUAAUUUGAUUUUUGUUAGUAUUUUAGUAUAUUUUUUUUUAAUUAGUAUUUGAUGUAAAUAUUUUAUACAACUUAUUUUAUUUAAUUAGUUGUUUUGAUUAGUUAACAAAAUAAUUUGAAUUUUAUUAUUUUGAUUAAAUGAUGUAAAUAUGUUGUGAUUUUUUUAUUUUUUAUUUUAGUAUUUUUUGUUUUGAUUAAAUGAUAUAUAUUGUUUUAUUUAGAAUAUAUUUUAUAUUUAAGCAUGCCACGUCAUCACAUUUUAAUCCCGUUUGUUUUCUGUUAACGGCAGGGGCACGGGCGACCCAAAAAAUAUAACGUUAAGGGUACUUUUAAAAAAAAAAAAUUAGUUUAGGAUGCAAAUAGAACAUCGAGGUAAAUAUCAGGGUCAUUUUUGACCCUUUGCCCCAACACCAUAUUAUUAUGCUUUUAGUUUUGUUAAAAGUGACUAUUGAAUGUUCCAAUUAAAACUUGAUCUCAUUAUUUUACCAUAUUUUAAAUCAACUCCUAGCCUAUCACUUUUUAUAAAUAUAACAUUAAUUUAUUAUAAAUAAAAAAAAUUAUAUUUUAUAUAAAUAUAAAAACUAUGCCUUAUACCCUGAACUUUAAUUUUUUUUUUCCAUUUUGGAGAUUUUCUUCUCAAUUUUUUUAAUUAGGAAAUUAAACUUUUAAUUUUUUUUAUUACGUCUAAUUGAUAGUACCACAUCAUAAAUUGAUAACAUGACAACGACAUGUGGCUAAAAAAAUGCUUAUGUGUAGUAUUAAGUCUCAUUUUAACAUUUACUCCAUUAAUUUUUUAUACCAAAAAAGGGUAAAUAUAAGACAAUUAUUAAUUUUUUAAAGUAAAUUUAAUACAUUACAAACUCAGCUUUAAAAAAUCAUCAAUAAUCAAUAUAAUGAUAAAUAUUUUAAAAUGUAUAAAUAUACUACUAAUUAAAAAAGAAAUCGAUAUUUUCACAUCAUUUUUUGAUAUUUCCACAUGUCGGACCCAUAUAUUAGCUGAUGUGCCAAAGUUUUAUUAGCUAAUAUGUGAGACCUACGUGUGUUCCCAAAAAAUAUUGUUAUUUCAUAAUCAUCAAUAAUCAAUAUAAUGACAAUUUUACCAUUUUUAGUAUAAAAAAUUAAUGCCUAAAUAUAAAUUAAUACAUUGAACUUUAAGUUUAUUUCAUAAUCAUCAAUAAUCAAUUUAAUUAAUUUUUAUACCAAAAAUGGUAAAUUGUCAAUAAAUUUACUUUAAAAAAUUAAUAAUGGUAUUAUAUUUACUCUUUUUGGUAAAAAAAAAUUAAUUGAAUAAAUGUUAAAUUGAAACUCAAUAUUACACAUAAGUAUUUUUUUUAGUCACGUGUCGCUGUCAUGUUAUCACUCUUCUAACGUGACACUAUCAAUUAGACGUAAUCAGAAUAAAUUAAAAGUUUAAUCCCCUAAUUGAAAAAAUUGAGAAGACAAUCCCGAAAUAAAAAUAAAAUAAAAAUUCAAAUAUUAAUUCAUAUUUAAGCCUAAAAAAUAAUAAAACUACCCCCACCUAAGCCCAGCCUAGGAAAAUGCCCGAGUCUCGAGGCUAGGCGUUCGAAAUUCCAUCUAAAUUCUCUCUUUGAUGUCUAAAGGGCUGUUUGUUUAGGACUGAAUGACAAAAUGGCAGAAUGAUUGAAUUGGUCAGCUAUUAAGUGUGUUUGUUUUGGAAAAAAAUUAUCUGAAUGACUGAAUCGAUCAGUCAUUUAGACGAUUUAAGCUGAAUGAUUUAUUGUCAUUUUUUUGUUGAAUGGGCUGAAUAAAGGCUUAAUGAAGUUUUUUUUUUAAACAAUAUUAACUAUUAUAUUAAAUAAAUUUAUAAUAAUUUUGAAUUUUUUAGAGGGACAAAAUAAUAAAAAUUUGUAAUUCAAAAAUUUGAGACAUCAAUUAUCAAAUAACUUUUUUCAUUCAGAUACAACCCAUAAGUCUGCCUAAAGAUUUAUAAAAUUUCAUUAUGUCAUUCCAUGUCACCACAAUUAAACUUAUAAUUUAAUCAUUUUAUGAGUAAAUGUAACAAAAUACAUUCUUAAUAUUUACACAUUUUACAUUUGAAAGUGUUUUUUUUUGUGAAAUAAUGGGAGUACUAUUUUCAAAUUUAAAUAGAUCAACGACAGUUUUUAAAGGAUCUGGAUCCUCUAUAAGGAUUUUUCUGUGAAGAUCUUGUGAGGGUUUUGUUGUGAGAUUGACAACACAUUAAAAAUAAGAUCCAAUGGCUCACAACUCUUUUUUUGUCUGUGUAUCAAAACGACGUCAUUUUGAUAGGAAUUUUUUUUACAAGUUGACAGAAAAUUGGAAGUCACCAAACGCAGUUUACUUUUACCAAACAAACGAAGUAAAGUAAAAAAGAAUACAUUUAAAAUAGAAUUUGAGUUGUGAUGGUGAUUGUCUCCGUUGAGCAGUGGAUUACGAGAGAUAAGUAAAACGAUUAUUAAUAAUAAAAAAAGAUAUAAAGGAAUAUAUAAAUAAUAAAGGUCUAGAAUAAACUUUUUUUAUGGAACAGAUAAAUAUAAAUUAUAAUAAUAAUAAUAAGUAAUAAUAUAAAUAAACAAACAAAAACAAUAAUAAACGAAAAAUAACUAAAGCCGCAUUGAAAACAUUAACGAUAAUUAUAACCGAUAUAUUUAUUCAUUUUUUUUGGCCAAGUUUGUAGUUAAUAUUAAUAGCAAGCUAAGUUAUUAAAUAUAUAAAAAAAUCAUAUACAUAAUAACUAAGAAAUUUAAAAUAAUUAUAUGUAAAAAUAAAUUGCGUUUGGUGGCUUCUAUUUUUUUUGUCAAUUUAUAAAAAAAAUUCCUAUCAAAACGACGUCGUUUUGAUACACAGACAAAAAAUAAUAAUUGUGAACCAUUGGAUCUCAUUUAUGAUGUGUUGUCAACCCAACAACAAAACCCUCACAAGAUCCUGAUUCGUGUUUUUAAAAGGAUUAUGAAUUAUAAGAAGAGAGAAAAUGAAAAUCUUACCAUCAUGAGACCUCUAAUAAUUUCAUCAGUAUAGUAAUCAGGUUCAGUUUCUUGCAGCGACGAUAACACUUCAAUCAUGCUCUUCUUCCCACCUCCCAACUCCGACCCCUCACGGCCACCAACCCCACCAACGCCGCCGUUGCUACCCAUUUUCCCUCUAUGCUCUUCAAUCAACUCCUGCACAAACUCAUCUCUCUUUUUCCGUAAUACAAUCAUCCUCUUCUCUACCCCUCUCGCUACCACCCACUUCAACGCCGGCAAAAAAUCCCCCAAAUUCGAGGCCCCGCCGAGAUAAAACGUCUCCGUAACUAUCUCCUUAAACCGCCUCGCCUCCUCCAGCUCCGCCACGUUCUCCCCGUAAUACCUCUUUCCGGCGAUCAUCCUCAUCAUCACGUUUAACACCACCUCAAAAAACAUAGAUUUCAUAUCCACCGUCCGUUCUGAAGCUCGAAAGAGCCGACGCAUCAACAACCGAGUCUCCUCAACUCGUAUCGGUUGAAGCGCUUGGAGCCGAUGGGUGGAUAGCAGUUCCAGGGAUGCGAUCCGGCGGAGGUUCCGCCAGUGGUCGCCGUAGGGAGCCCAAACGAGGGAACUGAAGUUGUAGCCGAGGUGUUUUCCGAUGAGCAAGCGAGGGCGGUUGGCGAAUACGAUGUCGUUUUUGGUGAAGCAUUCCUCGGCGAUCGACGGCGAGGAGACUAAGAUGACUCGGCGGGAGCCGAACUGGAGGAGGAGAAUUGGGCCGUGACGAUCUGAGAUCUUGGCCAAAGUGCGGUGGAGUGGUUUCUUCAGGAGGUAUAGAUGGCCCAGAAUCGGUAGAGCUGGGAAUAGGCUUGGUGGGAGGUUUUGGAUUUUGCUAAGGAGCUGUUUGGUGAAUAGAAAUAAGGAUGAUAAUAGGAGAAAGAGGUAGAAGAAGAUUGUGUACUCCAUGUCUCCGUGGCUACAAAAAUCUUGGAAACGGAUCAAGGAGUUGGAAGACUCUUGGAGAGGAAUUAACAGCCGGGUACAUAUAUCUUGAAAUUCAAAAAGCUACCUAGCUUUUAUGUAGUAACUUGGUCCUCAACCGUUGAAAAUAAACAACAACUACUACCGCAACAAACAAAAUAGAGUAAUAAUAUAAAUAGCCUAGCUCAUCCGGUUAUCAUAAAUUUAUCUUACUACCUCUGUUCUUAAAAGAUUAUUCAUUUACCAAGUAAAAUUUAUAUGAAAUUCCAUCACUACCCCUUUAUGGAAAGUUGAAAACUAUUAAUAUAAGGAAGAAAAUUUCUUGGGACAAUGAGAGAAGGUAGGGGUAAUAUAGAAAAGUAAAUAAUUUAUUCUCCUUGAAAGUUGUAAACGACAAACUUUUUGGAACAAAUUUUUUCUUCUAAAACGACAAUCUUUUAAGAACGGAAAGAGUAAUAAUUAGAAAAAGAUCACCUCUCAUCGUGUCAACAAUUUAUUGGUCCUAGUCUAGUGUGGAUACAUUUUUAAUUUUUUUACUUUGCGGAUAAGCAUUCGACAUAUGGGACACACCUUGUUCUCCCCAUCCAUAAUCCUGCAAAAAAGAGGCAUAAUAAUAAAAUUUUCAUAGUAUUUACUCGUAAAUAUUCAUAUCAAAUUUUGAGUCCAAAUCGAAUGAAGUAAUAACGUAUUAAAACUCAAUUUAUUAUCUUAAUAGUAUAUUUUUAAGUCAUAUUAGUACAUUACAAACUUGCUCAAAAGAUCAUAAUCGAAAUUACUAUUAAUAGUAGUUUGGUACCUCAUCAUAUGCAUAUCAAACUAGCUCAUAUGUUCCGAUGCAAAGAUGUUUCCCUCCAGACUAUUUCCUCCAUAUUUGCAAUCUCAGUUGUACUCGUUGCAAGUCAUACUUAUAACAUAUUUCGACACGUGUACAACUGAAAUUAUAAAUAUAAAAAAGUAAAGAGGAAAUAGUCUAGAGAAGAGAACCUCUCGUUCCCAUGUGAGAUAUUUCACAUGAAUUCCACAUCAGAUAAAUUCAAGAGUGUAGAUUGUUAUGUUUGUAAUAUUCUUGGACGCAAUCAAAUUGCACAAAUAAGCGGAAACGUGUAAAAUAUUAGAGUUUAAAAUUUUACAAACCAUAUACCUGGAUCAUCCUUUAUGCACAAUUAUUAAUUAAACGAAAAGAUAUGAAGAACAAGAAUCAUACCCUUGAAGAUUCGAGCUUCCUCAGGUACAAGUUCACCUCCAAUCCUUUUCGCGUUCAACUUGAAUCUACUGGGUUUGGUUCCUUCCUUUGAUCAACGUUAGCCACCCAAGUGUUUGGCCUCUAGAGGUGAUCCACCAAGAAAGAAUAAAUAUUCAAGAAGAUGGGUGUUUGGCAAAACCCUAAUUUUCUAUCUCUCAUAGAAAAGGAGCGUACUCUCCAACUAUUGGAAUUACGUCUGUUGUGAAAAAGUCAACAACCCUUACACCCAUAAUAAGACUUCUCUUAUUUAUAGAUGUGGGCAACCCUCCUUAACAAUUAAGGAAUUGGGUUUUAUUUUAAUUAAUUAAAAUCAUUUAAUUAAUUAUCCUCCUAAUCUUAUUAGGAAUAAAUGAGAGUACUAAUAUUAAAUUAAUUUCCAACUCUUUAAAAAUUAAAAUAAUAAUAAUUGUAAUAAUAUUAAUAAGACUCCUCUUAUUAAUUUAUAUAUUUAAUAUUUCCAAAAUAUUAAAUAAUAAAUAUUAAGCUAUUUAAUUUAUUCUAUCACCAUAGAUUAAAUUAAAUAUACUUAACUUAUUAUUACGAUUAUGCCAUUAACUUCUUAAAUAAUUAUUCUUCCUUUUAUGGUGUGACCCUUUAGGUUCUCCAUAUUAAACCGGUUGUGAAUAAAUCAAUUAGAACAAUUCUAAUCUUAUUUAAAUAAAUAAAUUAAACUAUUAAUUUAUUUAAAUAAAUAAUAUUUAUUCUACAAUAGGGAUAAGCCUCCCUAGCGAUCAACGACUUUCCAGAUAAUAUAGAUUUCAACAUUAAUCAUAAAAGAACCUUUGAGUAAAUAGUUACCGUACAAUUCAAUCCUUCCACCAUACAAUGUCCCAAUUAAAUAUAAGACAUGGAAUUACUGUCAAGUCUUAUUUUAUUUAAUUAUAUGUAUUUCGACUCUUAUAUGCAUAACUCCAAAUAUUGCAAAUUAAAAACUCAUUUCUAAUUUCGUUCUGCCUUGGCCAAGGACUACUGGGUUGUCAUUUAUCGAAUCACAUAGGACAUUUCUCUUCUUUUACUAGACGUGGUAGAUUCUUUAUUGAUCAUACAUUAUCCCCAUGUACAACUUAUUAUACCCAAGCAUACCCUUUGAUAUACCCUAAGGGUCUUAAGGAAUAAGUCAAAGUAUAACUCAUCAUACACAAGAUACUAUGAUGAUCUCAAGUCCAAAGAUCACUUGUACUACUAUUACUACAGGGAUUUCUAUUGACAGACAAGUAAAACUCUAUUAUGUAUUCCUUAGCGAGCCACGUUCAGUGAACUUAUUAUCUAAUAAGCACAUACAUACUUGCUUUAGUGUCUCCACACAAAUGAUCAUGAGAUCAAUCAUCCUCAUCCAAUGAGCAAGCAACGUAUGUACCAAUCUAUCCGGAUUCACUAAUCCCCAAUUUAGUAAUCCAACGAUUGAGAACUAUUUUAGUUUUAAGCUUUCUAAGAAUUUAGAUCUCAUUAAAAUGAUCAUCAUCAUUAUUCUAAAAGUAUUGCUUAAAACUAUGGGUUUAUCACAUAUUAUAAAACAGCAUCAUGUAGAUAAUUAAAAGCCUUUAAUAAAUUAAUACUUUUUAUUAAUAAAUGAAUAAGAUUGUUACAAAGUAUAUGCUUUAUCAUCAAAAAUGAUUGGCUUGUGUGCAUACUACUUUCAUAUAUGAGUUAAUAAGUAUGGUAGAGCCUCAACCUAAUAGGUUAACUUUUUAGGUAAGGAGGUGGUCCAACAUACUUAUUGAGUCCGUCUGCUAGGUGAUGAAUUGAUGUGGGAUGGAUUGUACAAUUUCGCUACAAAUGUCUAGUCAAAACACUUCAUGAGCUUGUUUUUUCAGGUGAAGUACCUUCGAGCACAUCCAUUACAAGUGGCACAAUGACCACAAGGAACAAAGAAGCAGUUUCGUGGCACAUCAUAGCAGAUCGCGCAAAUCUUCCCACCGUAUAAAUCCUCGGGAGAGCUAGACUCCUGAUCAUGAUCUUCUUCAUCAGUUCUGUAAGGCAAUCGAAAUGAUUUCUGGGGCAUCAGCGGAUAGGUCUCACUAAUUUCUCCAACUGGUUGUUCCUCUUCAAAACUUUCCACUUCAUAUGAUCCAAUGUAUUUCACAAGAAGAAAAACAAGUAUCAUCAAAAAUCCUGCAAACCAUGACUAAACAGUUGAAGGCCAUUUAAUAUAUACAGCUACAAGUGUAACAAAAAGGAAAAGUAUAUUCUAUUUAGCAAAAAAAAGAAGAAAGUAUUUUCAUAGUGUAAUACAUACCUGAAAUUACAAUAUAUACAGCAAUACGAACCACAAAACAAAGCACAUGAUACCAUCCAUCAAGAUCUCCCAUGCGAGUAAUUUUUCCAGUUAAUUAGUAGUUAAUUACCCUAAUUUAUGCACAAACUGGCCCCAUAUGUUUCAAGGAAAAUACUUGUCAACUUCCUUUUUUUUUGCCGUUAUUUUUAUAAAAAGAUAAAUCUGUCGUUUUCUAACUCCGACAAUAAUUUCGUUUGUGGGGUCCACCAAUGAUUGUGUCGUAGUACGAAUAAUCCCUGUUAAAGCGAAUAUUCCCCAACCAAUUGAAUAUUUUAUAACCACUUUCUUACUUUGCAAAAUUUGUAAAUAUUACCCACAACUAUAACAUUAUCUCAAAUUCACACCAUAAUAUUCAAAAAUAUAUUUCGAGAAAAAUUAAUCUUUAUUCAUAAAAGUUGGGGUCUUACAACAUAUAUAUAUAUAUAUAUUAUAUGAUAAUUUUGAUAUUUUAUGACAAUAUCCACAAUUAGGGAUGCACAAAAGGCCCGAGGCCUGCGGCCCGGUUAAAGUCCGGCCUGGUCAAGGCCGGUCAGGCCUGUCCUAGAAGGCUUGAAAAGUCCGCUAUUUUUAAAUAAAAAUCUGGCCUGGCUGGGCCUGGCAUGAGGUCUACCCUGGCCUGGCCUGGCCUGAGACCUUACAAGAUUUUUUAUCCAAUUAUUUGUAAUUUUUGAACUUUAAAUUUAUAGUUAUUCAUCAAUAAAGUAUAAAUUUUUACUUAUUCAUUAUUGUAAUUUAUAAAUUAUAAUACAUUAAUUGUGACGCCCCCAAAAUAGGUAUACAUCACAUAUUCUGAGUCGCCAAAUACAUGGUAUAGAAUACAAAUACAACCUUAGAUAUACAACAUGAGCUGUGAGUUUUAAUACAAAUAUUGUCUUCUAGACAGUAUUCAAACUCAAAAUAAGUCCGCAAUACAUUUAUUAUCACACUAUUUUAUAGAAUAGUGAUGACUACUAAUACUAUCAUCUGGACCGUCACUCCGUUCCCCGACUAGUCCCUGCUACGUUCUCAUUUUCUGAAGAGAACAAUGAAAGCAAAAGGGUGAGCUCAACUAGCCCAGUAAGAAAUAUUAUGACUAAGAUAAUGCAAAAUAAAUUAUCAUUAGCCUUCAACAGUGUUAAACUGAUAAAAUAUAACAAACAUCAAGUUUAACUGCAGCGGAACAAGCAAUCCAUUAGAAGAGUCAAGUAGAGAAUAAAAUCUACUAUCUUCUAUGAUUUAAAAGGUUUUUCAUUACUUUUAUCGCUGAGACUCAGCUUAAUAAAUAAUCUACAUCAUCCCUGCACUACGGCCAAGGAUAUUCAUUAGUAUCACGACCACAAAUUAUCUAUGCACUACGGGCCAAGGAUAUUCGUGUAUUCGUCAAUGGUCAUGAUCAUGUCAACAACUGUCCAUCAAUGUACUACGGGGUAAUGAGGACUUUUUCCACAUCAUUUGUAACAUUACGGUCAUGAUUACACCGAAUAAUCCCUGGUCAUAAUCAUACCAAGUCCAUCUAUGCACUACAGGCCACAGAUGACUUUCAACAUAAUAUAAAUAUGAGGAUGAUGACAAAUAUAUAAGAAUUCAAUAAAACAAGUUCAAAAAUUAAUUUAUCUAGGAACUAAUAAUGUCCAAAUUGUCAAUAUGAUACUUCUUUGUAGAGUAACACUCAAGAAUGCUCAGAAGAAUAUUUCCAUGAAAAGAUACUAGAUGAAGCGCAAAUAUCAAGGAUAUUCCACUAAUUUCAUGGAGUACAGAAGUCAAAACUUUAACCAACUAAGUAUAAUAAAGAAUGGAAUAACAAAAGAAAUCACCAGACAUGCGAUAGACCGCACAGACAGGUUAUUCCAACAGAAUAUUAAAUAACGGAACCAGGUCAUGCGUAAACGCACAGACAAGAUAUUCCAACAGAAUAAUAAAUAAUGGAACCAGGUCAUGCGUAAACGCACAUAGGAUAUUCCAACAGAAUAAUAAACAACGGAACCAAGUCAUGUGUAAAUGCACAGACAGGAUGUUCCAACAGAAUAAUAAACAACGAAGUAACAUAAAAAUUUCACCAAGUAUAGGGUAGCCCGCGUAUACAGAUUAUUCCAACAGAAUAAUAAAGAAUGGAAUAACAGAAGUUCUCUUCAUGAAUAAGAAAGAAAUAAUACCCCUUACGAGUACAACAAAUAAAAUCCCUUACCGCAAAAGAAGAGUAUUCCGACUGGUAGGGCGAGAAUAUUCUUGAAGAAAACUUACACUACGCUCAAAGCUUCUUAAAACUCUAAAGAAAUACGCUCAAAAUUAUAGAAGAAUUCUCUGAACUUCUGGUGUGGUUUUCAAUUCUAACUAAGCAUCCUAUUUAUAGAAAAAUAGAAAGGAUACUAUGCUGAACUAUGCAAUAAAAUAUAAUAUAUUCUAAAUAUAUAUAUAUAUAUAUUUAUAUAUUUUAUUUAAAAUCUAAUAAAAUAAAUAACUUUAUAAAAGUAUUCUGUUUUAUAUAAAAAGAUUUUACUAUACAAAACACUAUGCAUAAUAAAAUAUAAUAUAUUCUAAUUAUUGUUUAAUAAAACAAAUAACUUUAUAAAAGUAUUCGGUUUUAUAUAAAAAGAUUUUACUAUACAAAACACUAUGCAUAAUAAAAUAUAAUAUAUUCUAAUUAUUGUUUAAUAAAACAAAUAACUUUAUAAAAGUAUUUUGUUUUAUAUAAAAAGAUUUUACUAUGCAUAAUAGAAUAUUAUAUAUUCUAUUUAUAGUCUAAUAAAAUGAAUAACUUUAUAAAAGUAUAUUAUGUUUUAUAUAAAAAGCUUUUCUGUUUUAUUACAUUAAUAAUACUAAUAAAACAAAACUCAUCAUCAUUAUUAUAAUUCACAAUAUUAAUCGAUCAGGUCGUUCUCAAGAAAGAGGGGGGGCUUUCCAAUAAGGAUUUCUCCUCAUUGGCGCGCAAUUAGGUGACCAAACCUUUCCUUGACAGAACUUCUAGACAUUGUUAAUAUUGUAAAUAAUAAUAUUAAUAACUUUGUCAUCUCAAUUAUUGAUUAUAAAAUAUUGACAAUAAUUGAAUCAAAUAACGUGAGAUACUAUGCAGCAAUUACUGUUACAAUAAUUAAACAAAAUUGAGUGACUUCUCACGUAAGCAUCACUAAUCAAUAUCGUGUGCUACUAUGCAACCACGCGUAUUACUGUACUUUGAACACCGGGUGUUUCAACAGUUAACGGUAAAACUUCAGCCGUUAUUUUCAUAAAGUAUUUUUGUCGUUUUCUCAAUCCGACAAUAACUCCAUUGUGGGGUCCACCACCAAUCGAAUAUUAUAUAACAACUUGCAUACUUUAUAAAAUUUAUAAAUAUUACCCACAACUAUAACAUUAUAUCAAAUUCGUUUCAUAAUAUUCAAAAAUGAUAUUUAUAGAAAAUUCAUCUUUAUUAAAAAAAACUUGGGGUCUUACAUUAAUUUUAAUUAAUACGUCAAUAAAAUUUAAAAUUUUAAUUAUUAAUUCUUGAUUUCUUGUAGAUACAUUUAAUUAAUAUACAUCUUCAAUGAAUAUAACUAGUUAGUAUAUUUAAUAUUAAUAAUAAGUUAGUUACUUGGUUGAUUAAAUAUUAAUAAUAAUAAGUUAAUUUAUUGUAAAUACUAAAUUUUAUUAAUAUUCUUUGUUACUUUAAUGUUAAUAUUAACAUUAAUUAAUACAUCAAUAAUCUAAUUUUUAAUAUUAAAUAUUAAUAAUAAGUUAGUUUCUUGUAAAUACUCAAGUUUUUCAUUAAUUUGGAUAUGCUAAAUUCUUGGGGGAUUAUGAUUUUGGUUAUUUUUAGGUAUUCUGUUGUACCAAUUUAAAUAAAAAUUUUAUAAAGCAAUUAGAAAACUAACUGAAAUUAAUAUUUGAGAUAUAACUAUGUAAGAGUUUAAUGACCACAAAUGAAAAGAUAUAUGUGUGUUUAAACUUUAGAAAAUUUAUGUGCAACCGAUCCUAGUACUAUAAGAAAAUAAAAUCAAAACUAAUUUUAUAUUCAAAAAAUAAAAGUGUAAUUUAUAGUAUUUAGGUAAUCUACAAUAUUUUAUACGAAGUGCAUAGUAGACGAUUAGACAUAUAUUUAAGAAAUCAAUUUGUUUUAUAUUCCAGUUACAUCUAAAUUAUAUUUUUCUGUAAUUUAAGAUGAAUAUAUUUAUUUUUGUUCUAAUCAUUCAACUUAUAUUAGUGUAGUAGAAUGUUAAAAUAAAAUAAAUCUAAAAAAUCUUGCAUCUUUUUUACAAAAUUUAUUAAUUUAUAUUUUAUAAUUUAUAAUUUAUAUUUUUAAUAUUUAAUAUGUAACAUUAAAAAAAAAAAAACCAGACCAACCAAGGCUUUGGGUAUGGCCUGACCUUGGUCCUGGGCCUGACCUUGGGUCUGGCCUGGACUUGGGCCUGGCCUGACCUAACCUGCAGGCUUAGUUAGACCACAGCCCAACGACCAAGGCAUGGCCUGGCCUGGCCUAGAGGCCAAAAGUCAACGGCCUGACUUGAUCUGGUCAAAGCCUAAGGCCUUGCAAGCCCAGGCCAGACCAGACCAGCCUGUUGUGCAUGCCUAUCCACAACUAACAAUCAAACAUAUACUUCAAAUAUCUUAAAAUCAUUUUAUUCCAUUCUCCAUUCUAUUAUUUUAAUCCAAACUUAGCAUCAAGACUCAGUAAUAAAAUGAAGAACACUUUCCGGCAAGUUGAUGAUAGGUUCAGACAGAGGAAUCUUUUCCAAGUUUGCUCCUCCUUGUUUGGGAUGCUUAAUUAACAAUAUUGUUAAGUUCUAUAUUCAGAAAAAGAAUCAUAAUACUACAAGCUUAGGAGUAUCUUUCAUUUCCUAGGUCGGUAUUUCAAUAAGUUUAGCGGACCGGACACUACUGACCGGUCCAAAAUUUAUUUUUUUUCACUUUGACUCCCAAAAAAUGUACAAUAAGUCUAGCCGGACAGGAAAGCUGGACAGGAUUAUUGAACAGGCGAUUNNNNNNNNNNNNNNNNNNNNNNNNNNNNNNNNNNNNNNNNNNNNNNNNNNNNNNNNNNNNNNNNNNNNNNNNNNNNNNNNNNNNNNNNNNNNNNNNNNNNAUAGUAUUUAUUUCAACAGGAAUUUUUAUAAAAUAUAGUGUUUUAGGUGUAAUUUGGAUACACAUACAAAAAAGGAGUUAUACAGUCUGUAUAACCCUAUUUUUGUAUGUGUAUCCAAAUUACACCUAAAACACUAUAUUUUGUAAAAAUUCCUGUAGGAAUAAAUACUAUACAUUUUUUGGAGUCACAAGCAAAAAAAUAAAAAAAUAAAAAAAUUCGCCUGUCCAAUAAUCUUGUCCAGCUUUCCUGUCUGUGUAGAAGCACCUAAAAAUAUAUAGUAUUUAUUUCAACAUGAAUUUUUAUAGAAUUCAGUGAUUUAGGUGUAAUUUGGAUAUAUAUAAAAAACAGUGUUGUACAAUUAUAUGUAUCUAAAUUACUUGAUUCUGUAAAUAUUCCAGUUGGAAUAAAUAUUAAACAUUUUUUGGAAGUCAAAGCAAAAAAAAAAAAAAAAAUUGGACCAGUCGCUAGACGGCUAGACCGGUCGGUAGUAGCCGGUGGUCCCUAGAAGAACUGUUUGUAUUUUGUUUCAAAAUAAUUUCUAUAUAAUUGUUCUCAACAUUUUUUUUUUCUUUUUCAGUGUUUAUAUGACACUUCAUAAAAGUGUAUACUUUUUUUGGUAAAUCAAAGGAACAUCUUCAUACAAGCCUUUAUCCCACUGAAACAAAGGCUACGGUUGAUAGUUCAAAUACAUUAAGUAAUCUGUGUUCUCGCUCUUGCAUUGGGAUAUUGAUUCAUACUCAUGGCUUAGCAACAGAAACACAGAAAUAUGUUUAACUUCAUAAUAAGACGCAAUACCAUAAUAGUGUACAUUUGCACAUGCAGAAAUUUAAUCUAUCACAAAGGCUGUAAAUAGUACCUUAACCAAAGAUAAUAAGAAACUGGCUUCUCCCCAAAUUAAAAGCAAAUCGCAAACAAAUCUUAAACUCAUCAUAUAUAAUGCAUUAUAAUGCAGAUGAUAUUGGUAGAACAUUAAGAUACAAUGGUCUCUGGUCUUGGACUCGGUAGCUGACCUGUAAAUUGCGACGUCCCAAACUUGCGCCUGUCGAAACAUCUGUGGGGCCGUAAUUGAAUCAAAUCUGAGAAAGUUGGUUAAUCAUGGCUGGACGCGGCUGACAUUUCACAACCAAAGGUCGAAGCUUGGGCAAGGUAAGCCCAGUUCCUUCUGUCAUGUCCACCAUUUCCUUGCCAACUCUUUCA
rnacentral:lncRNA from 1 species